rnacentral:tRNA from 1 species
AACUAAUCAUAUAUUGAUUGCAAAUCAAUAAUUUACAUUUGUAGAUUAGGUG